rnacentral:lncRNA from 1 species
CACUGUGAGCAAUAGGUUGUGACUUUUGGAGGUAGGACUGUGUUUGUAAGGGGGGUGGGGACUAUGUUUAGGGGUGCUUCUCUCUUCACUGAAAUCCAAUACUGGACCACAUGAGAUUCUUUCUGUGGAUCACCAGGAGGAAAAAUCCCAUGUUUUACAAAUGUCACAUGCAGGCUGCAUCAGCCAACUGUGGAACCCAGACAUGUGAAGUCCUGUCAUUAACAGCUGCGGCUCUUUGAUGUCCCGCUCACAGGAUUUCAUCCAGGAGGGGGAGACAUUGUUCACUUUGUUGCCAACAACAAAGAGCCAAGGAGUAGACAAAAGGCCCUGAGCUGCUGUGUACCUUGACAUCUAACAAAUGAAAAUGAAAAGAAAAUGAAUCUGCUCUAUGACUUUAUGUCACUUGAAUAUUUUUUAGGGUCUGACCUGUGAUUAGUGGUUUAAUGUGCUAUGCAAAGAUCUAAAAAGGACUCUCAGCAGUAUGUGAAAGGAAUUGUAUUAUUACUAUGAGUCACUUUUCUGUCACCAGAGGUCACUGUCAGGUUUCAUACAUUUUUCUUUUAAUAAAGAAGGUUGUGUCAUUUCCUGAAUGAUGUUGGGGCAUAUUAAAAACAGUGGUUGAGUACUGGGGG